CGCCUGCGAGGGGCGGGGUCGGCACCGCCCGUUUAAAGGGGCAGCAACCAGCGGUGGCCGGAGCCGGGGGGAUGUAGGAGCUGGGAACCCUACGCGUUGGGUAACACAAUGCAUUAGUGGCUCUGAUCUGCACUGGAUGCCUGACUUGUAUACCUGAGCCAUAUGUUUCUCCCCAUAUGACUGCUGCAACUGUGGUCAACAGAAGUGAUCGAGUUGUAGAGCUCCCUAGAUACAAAAGGAAGUUGUUUCUGGUGUGUUCUCCAUAAACCACCUUCCAGAUUGCAAUUUACUACUCCCAGCAGGGAUGGCCAACCAAUGGCACAAGUGCCAUGGGCAGAGGAGACUGGCAGCACAGCAAGAGAUGGGGCAGGAAACAGAGCAGACAAGACACACAAGCAGGAAGCAAAAAGUGGGAGAAAAUUGGACAAGGAACAGAAAACAGACUGAGCAGAGGAGGAAGGAUCAGUGUGGCACUCAGGGAGGGUAAAGGUUAAUUUGUGGGACACCUGCCAAAAAAGUUGUCCCCCAUUAUCUUAAAUUAUAAGAGUUGCUGCUCAUCCAUAAGACACCUAAUUAAAGAAGUACCAAAACAC